CCUACGGGUGGCAGCAGUGGGGAAUAUUGCACAAUGGGGGAAACCCUGAUGCAGCAACGCCGCGUGAGUGAAGAAGUAUUUCGGUAUGUAAAGCUCUAUCAGCAGGGAAGAAGCUGCCGGUACCUGAUUAAGAAGCCCCGGCUAACUCCGUGCCAGCAGCCGCGGUAAUACGGAGGAUGCGAGCGUUAUCCGGAUUUAUUGGGUUUAAAGUGUGCGUAGGCGGAUCGUUAAGUCAGUGGUCAAAUUGAGGGGCUCAACCCCUUCCUGCCAUUGAAACUGGCGCUCUUGAGUGGAAGAGUAGUAUGCGGAAUGCGUGGUGUAGCUGUGAAAUGCAUAGAUAUCACGCAGAACCCCGAUUGCGAAGGCAGCAUGCCGGCUUCCGACUGACGCUGAAGCACGAAAGCGUGGGGAUCGAACAGGAUUAGAUACCCCUGUAGUC
rnacentral:rRNA from 1 species